rnacentral:pre_miRNA from 8 species
AGGGUUCACUGUUAAGGUGGGUGGAGUGGUAUAACAAUAUGUCCAAGCUGUGCGUGUUGUUAUGUUAUUCCACCUUCCCUGGCGUGCUGCCU